rnacentral:rRNA from 1 species
AUUCGCCCUUAGAGUUUGAUCCUGGCUCAGGACGAACGCUGGCGGCGUGCUUAACACAUGCAAGUCGAACGGAGCGCCUAUGAAGGAGAUUUCGGUCAACGGAAUAGGUUGCUUAGUGGCGGACGGGUGAGUAACGCGUGAGGAACCUGCCUUUCAGAGGGGGACAACAGUUGGAAACGACUGCUAAUACCGCAUAACACAUAGGUGCCGCAUGGCAUUUAUGUCAAAGAUUUAUCGCUGAAAGAUGGCCUCGCGUCUGAUUAGCUAGUUGGUGAGGUAACGGCUCACCAAGGCGACGAUCAGUAGCCGGACUGAGAGGUUGGCCGGCCACAUUGGGACUGAGAUACGGCCCAGACUCCUACGGGAGGCAGCAGUGGGGAAUAUUGGGCAAUGGGCGCAAGCCUGACCCAGCAACGCCGCGUGAAGGAAGAAGGCUUUCGGGUUGUAAACUUCUUUUGACAGGGAAGAGUAGAAGACGGUACCUGUCGAAUAAGCCACGGCUAACUACGUGCCAGCAGCCGCGGUAAUACGUAGGUGGCAAGCGUUGUCCGGAUUUACUGGGUGUAAAGGGCGUGUAGCCGGGUUGACAAGUCAGAUGUGAAAUCCUGCGGCUUAACCGCAGAACUGCAUUUGAAACUGUUGAUCUUGAGUACUGGAGAGGCAGACGGAAUUCCUAGUGUAGCGGUGAAAUGCGUAGAUAUUAGGA